rnacentral:rRNA from 1 species
CCCUUUUCUACGGAAUAGCCUUUGGAAACGAAGAGUAAUACCGUAUACGCCCUUUGGGGGAAAGAUUUAUCGGAGAAGGAUCGGCCCGCGUUAGAUUAGAUAGUUGGUGGGGUAACGGCCUACCAAGUCUACGAUCUAUAGCUGGUUUUAGAGGAUGAUCAGCAACACUGGGACUGAGACACGGCCCAGACUCCUACGGGAGGCAGCAGUGGGGAAUCUUAGACAAUGGGCGCAAGCCUGAUCUAGCCAUGCCGCGUGAGUGAUGAAGGCCUUAGGGUCGUAAAGCUCUUUCGCCUGUGAUGAUAAUGACAGUAGCAGGUAAAGAAACCCCGGCUAACUCCGUGCCAGCAGCCGCGGUAAUACGGAGGGGGUUAGCGUUGUUCGGAAUUACUGGGCGUAAAGCGCACGUAGGCGGACUGGAAAGUUGGGGGUGAAAUCCCGGGGCUCAACCCCGGAACUGCCUCCAAAACUAUCAGUCUAGAGUUCGAGAGAGGUGAGUGGAAUUCCAAGUGUAGAGGUGAAAUUCGUAGAUAUUUGGAGGAACACCAGUGGCGAAGGCGGCUCACUGGCUCGAUACUGACGCUGAGGUGCGAAAGUGUGGGGAGCAAACAGGAUUAGAUACCCUGGUAGUCCACACCGUAAACGAUGAAUGCCAGUCGUCGGC